rnacentral:rRNA from 1 species
GACGAACGCUGGCGGCGGGCUUAACACAUGCAAGUCGAACGGAAAGACCCUGCUUGUGUGGGGUGCUCGAGUGGCGAACGGGUGAGUAACACGUGAGUAACCUACCCUUCACUUUCGGAUAGCUUCAGGAAAGUGGAGCUAAGACCGGAUAGAAUCCCCUCCUGGAUGGUGAGCGUUGGAACGUUGAGGCGGGUGGGGAUGGAUUCGCGGCUUAUCAGCUUGUUGGUGGGGGAGUGGCUUACCAAGGCUUUGGCGGGUCGCCGGCCGGAGAGGGUGGCCGGCGACCUGGCGCCUAAGAGACGGCGCAGUGUGCUAUGGGAGGCAGCGGUGGGGAAUAUUGUCCAAUGGGCGCAAGUGUGAGGAGGAGACGUCGCGGGCGGGAUGACGGUUUUCGGGUUGUGAAACGUUUUCGGUUGUGACGAAGCGUUAGUGACGGUAACGGAUAAAGAAGCACCGGCUAACUACGUG